GGGUGCUUCGGUAUUAUUUGAUCCGGGAUCUACUUAUUCUUAUGUGUCAUCCUAUUUUGCACUCUAUUUACUUAUGCCUAGUGAGGCUUUGGGUAUUCAGGUAUAUAUGUCCACACCGGUUGGUGAUUCUAUAGUGGUCGAUCGAGUGCAUCGUUCUUGCGUAGUGGUACUUGAGGGUCUUGAGACCCGUGUCGAUUUAUUGCUUCUAGACAUGGUGGACUUCGAUGUUAUAU
rnacentral:lncRNA from 1 species